rnacentral:rRNA from 1 species
CGAUGGGCACGCUAUUCCGCAUCGGCUGAGGUGAAGCGGGGAUCGCAAGGCUCGCCGAUUGAUCGCGAUUCAGGUAAGUAGUUGUGAGGUAAGGCUCACAGCGACGAUCCGUAGCUGUUCGAGAGACGACAGCCACACUGGAACUGAGACACAGCCAGACUCUACGGAGGCAGCAGUGGGGAUUUAGACAUUGAGCGCAAGCCUGAUCCAGCCAUGCGCGUGCGGGAAGAUGACUCGAGUGUAAACCGCUUUGUCAGGGAAGAAAAAGAUCUGCUAAUACCUGGGACUCAUGACGGUACCUGAAGAAUAAGCACCGGCCAACUACGUGCCAGCAGCGCGGUAAUACGUAGGGUGUAAGCGUUAAUCGGAAUUACUGUGCGUAAAGCGUGCGCAGGCGGUUAUGCAAGACAGAGGUGAAAUCCCCGGGCUCAACCUGGGAACUGCCUUUGUGACUGCAUGGCUAGAGUACGGUAGAGGGGGAUGGAAUUCCGCGUGUAGCAGUGAAAUGCGUAGAUAUGCUGAUGAAACACCGAUGGCGAAAGCAAUUCCCCUGGACCUGUACUGACGCUCAUGCACGAAAGCGUGGGGAGCAAACAGGAUUAGAUACCCUGGUAGUCCACGCCCUAAACGAUGUCAACUGGUUGUUGGGAGGGUUUCUUCUCAGUAACGUAACUAACGCGUGAAGUUGACCGCCUGGGGAGUACGGCCGCAAGGUUGAAACUAAAACGGGGUGAUACAUAGAAAUAUCUUCGUAGGAGUAUUUGGAGUUGCUUUAUGGACAGAGUGGUAAUUUCAUUUCGAUUUUCUCCAAAGUCAACUGGGGCAAAGAAUCAAAAAACGGCAGAUUGCCGAAAAAGGGGGCAUUCAUACACAAAAUCCCCGAGUUUUUUGAGGGUCCGGCUGAUAUUAGGCGACGAUCGCUUACAUUAUCAUCAGGCCCAAAAAGAAAAUAACUAAAAUAAUAACCAGAGGCAAAAAGAUAAUUUUCUUUCUGGGUUUCCUCUCAUUUUAAAUCUCAUGAUAUUUUCAACCCACUUUAUACACGGCCGUAUCAGGGGUUUUGAUUUAUUUUGAUAAAAAACUACCCCCCAAAAAUAAAACGUUUCCGCAGUACUGACUAAAGCCGGAAACAGGAAUCAAAAACACUCUGUACUAAAUGCAACAACUGAAUCAUCAAUAGAUCG